CUGACAAUCAGUUUCUAGUAGUUUGCACUAAAUAUCAGUGACAAGAGUUCAGAAAUUUUUGUAUUCCCUGGGAAGGAGGUAAAAAAGGAAGUGAAGGUAGCAAUUACCAAGUGGCCACCUCAAAACAGUAAUGUCAAAACAGCCUUCAUUGCCUGGUCCAGAACAGGUGCUCAACAGGGCAUUUGUAUGGAUUACAUGAUGCCUGAAAUGUACUCCAAGAAUUGUGCAGGUCCAAGCUUUCGUCUUAUCUCUGAACACAGUACCCGGCAUACAGAGUUGUUACUGAAUAAAUACUGAUGAAUUCAUUCAUUGGGUUUGUUUUUGAGUUGAAGCUAGUCUGAAAUUAAAAGUGAAAAGUACUACAUCCUAAUAAAUUUCAGCGAAGGCAAAAUAUUGAAUUCUCUGGAAUGCAUCAAAUAGAACUUUGAUAUUUUAUAGACUAGUGAUACUGCCCACAGUAAAUCAGAUAAAUUAUGAAGAGAGGACGUGGAUUUUAUCACCUCCCAGUUAUGUGAUGUUAACAUGUCAUUCUCUCUCUUCCUUCCCCCAGAGCCUGCUGUUUCAUUAAUUGUUUUACUUCUUGCUAAUAACAUCUGCCUGAGGGCUGAAAGCCUGGCCAGCCGCUAUUUUGUCAAUGCAAGUGGAUGGGGUGGAAACAUCGCCCACUUAGAGGUUUAUGAUUCCAAACAUGAAACCUCACCUGGAAUGCUGAGUGGAUGGGGAAACAGAAGGAGAAGAAAAAAUUAUUUCUUUUUAAUCUGUUCUGCAAAGAUAUAAAAGGAAUUGAAAAGCACACAGCUCUGUAGCUGUGACUGUCCACCUGGAGAUCUCUGACUCCACAGGGAAGAUUCAGACCUUACGACUGCACCUCGGAGUGUUUUAUCACACGUUAUCUCACACAAGACUCAUUCCUUACAGUCAGAAACAAGCGCAAUUUGAAAAAACUUUUCUUGCAGACAUUUUGAAAGCUACGUUUCUCUUCCAUGGGUGGUAGAUGAAAGCUCAGUGUUUGAUCACCCAUGACUUUAGGAGAAAGAUGAAUAUUCCAUUCCACUUCAGCCCAGUUUCCCAGGGCACAACCAAUUUUCCCAAUGGAGAGUAAAUUAAAUUCACAGAUAAAAUAGUGUUGAGGAGAAAGAACUGGCCUAGGAGCCUCAAGGGAGCGGGUUCAGAGGUGGUUUAGGGAGAAUCACCUUCCCUUCCGGAGCGCAGUUUCUCUACCACAUGUAAUGCCCAUGUCGCUGCAUCUUGACAAGAAUCUUCUCGGAUAGUUUGCUUUGUGGAAUCAUGCCAGCCUGGAAUUUCUUUGCCCUCUUCUUUCAAAUUCCAAAUAGAAGUGGCUUAAACAAGGUGAGGUAUUAUCACUACAAGGUCGUUUUUUAAAAAUUGAAGUAAAGUCAGUUUACAAUGUUGUGUCAAUUUCUGGUUCACAGUGUAAUAGGCCGGUCA